rnacentral:rRNA from 1 species
GAGUUUGAUCAUGGCUCAGAUUGAACGCUGGCGGCAGGCCUAACACAUGCAAGUCGAGCGGUAGAGAGAAGCUUGCUUCUCUUGAGAGCGGCGGACGGGUGAGUAAUGCCUAGGAAUCUGCCUGGUAGUGGGGGAUAACGCUCGGAAACGGACGCUAAUACCGCAUACGUCCUACGGGAGAAAGCAGGGGACCUUCGGGCCUUGCGCUAUCAGAUGAGCCUAGGUCGGAUUAGCUAGUUGGUGAGGUAAUGGCUCACCAAGGCGACGAUCCGUAACUGGUCUGAGAGGAUGAUCAGUCACACUGGAACUGAGACACGGUCCAGACUCCUACGGGAGGCAGCAGCGGGGAAUAUUGGACAAUGGGCGAAAGCCUGAUCCAGCCAUGCCGCGUGUGUGAAGAAGGUCUUCGGAUUGUAAAGCACUUUAAGUUGGGAGGAAGGGCAGUAAAUUAAUACUUUGCUGUUUUGACGUUACCGACAGAAUAAGCACCGGCUAACUCUGUGCCAGC